AUUGAACGCUGGCGGUAUGCCUAACACAUGCAAGUCGAACGGCAGCACAGUAAGAGCUUGCUCUUACGGGUGGCGAGUGGCGGACGGGUGAGGACUACAUCGGAAUCUACUUUUUCGUGGGGGCUAACGUAGGGAAACUUACACUAAUACCGCAUCCGACCUACGGGUGAAAGCAGUUGAUCUUCGGACCUUGCGCGAUUGCAUGAGCCGAUGUCGGAUUAGCUAGUUGGCGGGGUAAAGGCCCACCAAGGCGACGAUCCGUAGCUGGUCUGAGAGGAUGAUCAGCCACACUGGAACUGAGACACGGUCCAGACUCCUACGGGAGGCAGCAGUGGGGAAUAUUGGACAAUGGGCGAAAGCCUGAUCCAGCCAUACCGCGUGGGUGAAGAAGGCCUUCGGGUUGUAAAGCCCUUUUGUUGGGAAAGAAAAGCAGCAGGUUAAUACCGUGCUGGGCUGACGGUACCCAAAGAAUAAGCACCGGCUAACUACGUG
rnacentral:rRNA from 1 species